rnacentral:rRNA from 1 species
UGCAGUCUGCAACUCGACUGCACGAAGCUGGAAUCGCUAUAAUCGCGGAUCAGCACGCCGCGGUGAAUACGUUCCCGGGCCUUGUACACACCGCCCGUCACACCAUGGAAGUCUGCAAUGCCCGAAGCCGGUGGCCUAACCACUUAUGUGGAAGGAGCCGUCUAAGGCAGGGCAGAUGACUGGGGUGAAGUCGUAACAAGGUACC